ACACCGGCAGCUCGAGUGGUAGCUGUUUUUAUUGGGCCUAAAGCGUUCGUAGCCGGUUUGAUAAGUCUUUGGUGAAAGCUUGUAGCUUAACUAUAAGAAUUGCUGGAGAUACUAUCAGACUUGAAGUCGGGAGAGGUUAGAGGUACUACCGGGGUAGGGGUGAAAUCCUAUAAUCCUGGGAGGACCACCUGUGGCGAAGGCGUCUAACUGGAAGGAUCUUGACGGUGAGUAACGAAAGCCAGGGGGGCGGACCGGAUUAGAUACCCGGGUAGUCCUGGCCGUAAACGAUGUGGACUUGGUGUUGGAAUGGCUUUGAGUUGUUCCGGUGCCGAAGGGAAGAUGUUAAGUCCACCGCCUGGGAAGUACGGUCGCAAGACUGAAACUUAAAGGAAUUGACGGGG
rnacentral:rRNA from 1 species